AUGGCUCUAAUUCAGGGCAGUAGGGGACCAGAUGGAGAGAAGGGUGACAGAGGACCCAAGGGGAAAAAGGGACCAAAAGGAGCACCAGGGAUCAUGGGUCCUCAGGGUGAGAGGGGCCAGCCAGGUCUCCACGGCUUACCUGGUGUUAAAGGUCAGCCAGGUGCUCCAGGUCUCCAGGGUAUAGAUGGUGAAGUGGGUCCUCAGGGAACACUUGGAAAAGAGGGUCAAAAGGGCAGUAGGGGUGAACCUGGGGAUAAUGGAAGAACAGGACUCAGAGGAUCAAGAGUAAAUUUACUAUUUGUUUCAUAUAAAAGUCUGAAAAAUCCUGAGACCACCAGUGAAAAUGUAUCUAAAAUCCAUCUAAUAUUAUUUUUUAUAAAAAA
ensembl:lncRNA